GCUUCAUUUACAUGAGGUGAACACAAAGUGGCCAAUGGGAAAUCUCUAGGGGGUAUUUGGACCUGAGAAGAUUCUAUAUCCAGGCCCUUGAGCUGCUGCCGCUGCCGGCUCCCACACUGUGGAGUGUACUUUCACUUUCAAUAAGUCUCUGCUUUUGUUGUAUCAUUCUUUCCUUGCUUUGCUGUGUGUUUUGUCCAAUUCUUUGUUCAAAAUGCCAAGAACCUGGCCAACUUGGAGUCAAGACCCUCUACCGAACAAAGAAGAAAAAAUUUCUUUUAAAGAAAGGCCAAAGAAUUAUUAUAGAUCUUUUCUUUCGACAUUCCUAAACAAGAACAGGCCUAGAUGGUGUCAUUUUCAAUUCUUGUCCUAACUGGUCAGUGACCAAAACCUCUAAAAAUUCACAAAGAAGCUCAUGAGGAGGUCCGAGGCUGCCCAAAAGGCAUUUGGUCUCUGGCCCAGGAGCUCAGGACAGACCUAAGGUUUGAGUGAAAUCUGGGCUGGAGUAAACCUUAGCAACCUGUCAUUACCUACAGGGCAAUAAGCUGGCUCCCUUCCAGUGGCUUCUGUUUUGUAUGUUCAUCUCUGCCCAGAGCUCUGUCAUCUAGUGUUGCACUGUUCAGUAUGGGAACCAUGAGCCAAAACUGACUGCUGAGUAUUUGAAAUGGGACUAACACUGAGAUGUGCUGUCGAUGUGAAAUACACACCAGAUUUCAAAGACUUAGUAUGGAAAAAAAAAGAAAAAAAAAACCUCAUUAAUAUUUGUUAUGUUGAUUGCAUUUUGAAAUGAUAAUAUUUUGGAUAUAGUAGGUUAAAAUAUUAUUAAAAUUAAUUUUACUGUUUUCUUUUUACUUUUUUGCUUGUGGCCACUAAACAUCUUCAAGUUACAUGUAGCUCACAUUGUAUUUCUAUUGGAAAGGCCAUUUUAAUAGAAUUAUGCCCUUAGUUUCCCAGAUUCUCCCAAUAAGUUCAAAGCAUUCAGUAACGCAGGAACAUUUUGUUGAACACCCUGUGAUUAGACAUAUAACCCUGUUGUUCAUAGGAUCUGAUUGUAUCAUUUCUAUUUACAUUUGUCCUACAAUUUGCAAUUGUCUUGCAAAUCUAAUGCCGGUGCAAGAUGAUUUCCAUUUUAUCCUAAUAAAACCUCAAUUUAGGUAUAGAAUGAACAAAUAAAUGCAGAUGGGGAAAAGGAAGGAAAGAUGCACUGUGUUGGGAAAUUUCUGCUCAAAACACCUCUUCAGAGUGUGUAUUAUUUUCUCUGUUUUUACAGAGAGGAAUAAUGGCUCAGAGAGGUUAAGUAACUGUCUAAAAGUAAUACAGCUCUUACCUAUCAGAGGAUUCAAAAGGCCUAACAAACUCCAAAGCAGAAACUCUUUCUCAAAAUCUCAAUGCUCCUCUGUUACUGACAAAUUUGAGAAAAUUAAAUUGUAGCAAUCAAUUUUGGAGAUCGUUCUUUUCUUUGUUUUUAAUGUAUACUUUAAUAAGUAUAAAGAAUAUAAACAAGUAAACCUGUGGAGAAGCUGACAAAAAUACAUAAAUUAGGAUUUACACUGCUCUAAUGUAAAAAAAUAUAAAUUUUCUAUUUUUUUGCAGAAUAUUUAUUAAUGUGGUUUAAUGUACAAUUUCUUGUUUGUCAUUUGGAAGUCACUUAUUAUAAAGACAAUUUUUUUGUCUUAUGACAAACAGCAGUCCACAUUGGAUAAAUUUGAUUUCUUCUUGAGACAUA
rnacentral:lncRNA from 10 species